CACCGUCAAUUGAAUCGAUUUUUAUCCACUAAUCGGUUCAUUCUUGUUAAAAUAACAAAUACUGCUUUUUCUCGUGUGUAUAAUUAUUAUGGCAAAUGGCAUAUACGGAUAAUUUUUUGCGGGAACUUUUUGAAUUGUACAGGGAACAAGAGUGCCUUUGAAAAGUAAUGGGUGGUGUAUAUCAUAACAGAAACGACCGAAGGGCUAUGGACAUUUUAGUUGUAAAAUUUCAAGAAGUAAAUAAAGAAGCCAGUGAGAAUUUUGUGAAAAGGGAAAUUAACAAUUAUUGAACGUUAUAAACAAAGUUAUGGUAUUUUAAAUGGCUGUCAUUCCUGAAUGAUCAAGAUAUACCCUGGCAGGUGUUCCUAGCCUAUCGGAUGAAGACAAUAUAAGUAUUCCACCCGUGGAAGCCUAAAGAAUCGACAUUGUCAAUGAACAUUGCUGCAGCUGCUUCACAUACAAAAACGUUAUCUGAGACCAAAAAACGGCAAAAUUAAGAAUCAGAUACCAGAGAAGAGAUACUUUGUACAAUCAAAGAGAAGUUACAACAAACAAGAGAAAUUGUACGUGAAAAGGAUAGAUUCAAUAUUUUUGGAUAUAACGUGGCCAUAAAAUUGAGAGCCCUUCCCAAUAAUCAACGGAACAUAGCAGAAAAAUUAAUUAACAACGUGUUGAUUGAGGCUGAAUGCAAUUCCUUACUUAGGGGAUGGCAAUUGACACCACUACCAAAUACCAAUAAUCAGUAUGGGGAUUCCGCUCUUGUCUAUACAGAAUUAGGUACAUCCCUGCAUAGUAACAAUGCAUGAAAUUUCUCAUCUCACUUCUUUUCGAUUUUUAAUGAUAUUUUAUAAUAAUUAGUUAUUUCCCAUGCAACUGUUAAUGUGAUUAUUAGAGAUUUUGUUCUUUACAAGUUGUUUAUUGCCUUAUAAAUAUUUUGUCAGGAGUAUGUGCCCAAGGUAUUUUCUUUCUUAGAAUAGGUUUAUGUGUUAGGGAAGCACACAUAUUUAUUUUUGUUUAAUUUUUAUCUUUGAGACUUUCCUGUUUAAGAUUACUCAAACAAAAUAUAAAACUAUCUUUUUAGGAAGACAAUUAUUAAGUUAGUUUUCUCUAUAUCAGUAUAGGGGUUUACUUGAAAGAUCACAUGUUUUUCAAGUUUGUAAGAGUUUUAUUUUUUUUUAAUUAAAUACAUUAUCACUAC